ACGCUGUAAACGAUGUCGAUUUGGAGUUUGGGGGCAUGACCCUUGGGCUCCGGAGCUAACGCGUUAAAUCGACCGCUGGGGAGUACGGCCGCAAGGUUAAAACUCAAAUGAAUUGACGGGGGCCCGCACAAGCGGUGGAGCAUGUGGUUUAAUUCGAUGCAACGCGAAGAACCUUACUGGUCUUGACAUCCAUAGAAUCUUUCAGAGAUGAGAGAGUGCCUUCGGGAGCUAUGAGACAGGUGCUGCAUGGCUGUCGUCAGCUCGUGUUGUGAAAUGUUGGGUUAAGUCCCGCAACGAGCGCAACCCCUAUCCUUUGUUGCCAGCACGUAAUGGUGGGAACUCAAAGGAGACUGCCGUUGAUAAAGCGGAGGAAGGUGGGGACGACGUCAAGUCAUCAUGGCCCUUACGACCAGGGCUACACACGUGCUACAAUGGCGUAUACAAAGGGAUGCGAAGGUGCGAACUGGAGCGGACCUCACAAAGUACGUCUAAGUCCGGAUUGGAGUCUGCAACUCGACUCCAUGAAGUCGGAAUCGCUAGUAAUCGUGAAUCAGAAUGUCACGGUGAAUACGUUCCCGGGCCUUGUACACACCGCCCGUCACACCAUGGGAGUGGGUUGCACCAGAAGUAGAUAGCUUAACCUUCGGGAGGGCGUUUACCACGGUGUGGUUCAUGACUGGGGUGAAGUCGUAACAAGGUAACCA
rnacentral:rRNA from 1 species